CUUUUGCCAUGGAAAUGUCAAUUAAAGCCUGCAUGUCAGCAGGAUCAGUAAAGCAGAAAUUCAGCCUCAUCUCCUGAGAUACCUGGAGAGGCUUCUACAUUAAUCUGCGUGUUUGCUGUAGACCCAGAAGGCACAGAAAGAUCCUGUCAGACUGCAUCGUUAAUUUACAAACAAACCUAAGGGGAUGAAUAAAGUAAAAUAAUACCAAAAGGAAAGGGUUGAGUAACCCUCAAGUAAAAAAUCAAUAAAUAACUAAACAGGAUAAAGAAAUGAAAGUACUCACAAUAGUGAAAAAAUAGCAAUUGUAAUAUAAAAACACAGGAGCUGCCCGGC